rnacentral:tRNA from 3 species
AGGUGAGUAGCUCAAUUGGGUAGAGCACCGGACUCCAAAUCCGGCGGUUGCGGGUUCAAGUCCUGCCUCACCUG